rnacentral:rRNA from 1 species
UACGAAGGGGGCUAGCGUUGCUCGGAAUCACUGGGCGUAAAGCGCACGUAGGCGGAUUGUUAAGUCAGGGGUGAAAUCCCGGGGCUCAACCCCGGAACUGCCUCUGAUACUGGUAGUCUAGAGUCCGGAAGAGGUGAGUGGAAUUCCGAGUGUAGAGGUGAAAUUCGUAGAUAUUCGGAGGAACACCAGUGGCGAAGGCGGCUCACUGGUCCGGUACUGACGCUGAGGUGCGAAAGCGUGGGGAGCAAACAGG